rnacentral:rRNA from 1 species
UCUUUCAGCAUGAUUUUCAAAACCCAUCUGUGUACCUUACCUGUUGCUUCCGUGCCGCCGUGUGCCCUCAGGUGGCACCCUCCAGGGCUGCUUCGCAUAGCGUGGCGGGUCGUGGGGAGCCGGCACGGAAGGGUUUACCGCAAACUCUUGUUUUUCCAUGUCGUCUGUCUGAACUGUCGUAUAAAAUAAUUUAAAACUUUCAACAACGGAUCUCUUGGUUCUCGCAUCGAUGAAGAACGCAGCGAAAUGCGAUAAGUAGUGUGAAUUGCAGAAUUCCGUGAAUCAUCGAAUCUUUGAACGCACAUUGCGCCUCCUGGUAUUCCGGGAGGCAUGCCUGUUCGAGCGUCAUUAAAAUCAAAUCAAGCACUUUUGCAUGGUCAUGGAGGAAGAGUUCACCCCAGUGGUCUCCCCACCGAAAUGCAUGGGCGGAAAAGUCACUGGUACUCUGCGUAGUAGUAACGUUCGCUUUGUAAACAGUGUCAUUCCUGCCGGCAACCCCCCACAAUUCUCUUGAUUGACCUCGGAUCAGGUAGGGAUACCCGCUGAACUUAAGCAUAUCAAUAAGCGAG